GAUGAACGCUAGCGGCAGGCCUAAUACAUGCAAGUCGAACGGUGUAGCAAUACACAGUGGCGCACGGGUGCGUAACACGUAUGCAACCUGCCUUACAUUGGGGGAUAGCCUUUCGAAAGGGAGAUUAAUACCGCAUAAGACAGUAACUGGGCAUCCAGUAGCUGUUAAAGAUUUAUCGAUGUAAGCUGGGCAUGCGUCCAAUUAGUUAGUUGGCGAGGUAAUGGCUCACCAAGACGAUGAUUGGUAGGGGAACUGAGAGGUCAAUCCCCCACACUGGAACUGAGAUACGGGCCAGACUCCUACGGGAGGCAGCAGUAGGGAAUAUUGGGCAAUGGGCACAAGCCUGACCCAGCCAUGCCGCGUGCAGGAAGAAGGCGUUAUGCGUUGUAAACUGCUUUUAUACAGGAAGAAACGACCCUUGCGAGGGGCAUUGACGGUACUGUAUGAAUAAGCACCGGCUAACUCCGUGCCAGCAGCCGCCGUAAUAC
rnacentral:rRNA from 1 species